rnacentral:misc_RNA from 1 species
GGACCAGACAGUCCAGUGGUUGACAUGAAGAUCUCGCAAGAACCGAUCCUGGGGAAACCCGACUAUAAAUAGCCAUGAGGUGUGACUGACUAUCAUACACCUUUUCUUAACUUCCUUUAAUUCCAUGUUCAAACUAAACUUUAUGUUACCGCGGUCCGAGGAGAAACAUCGGUUCUGGAUAUCUGUUCAAGGGUUCCUAAGAUUCCAUAGCUCAACAUGAAGUUUUCCACUACCAGACAUCAAUGUUAUGAAUGUGAAGACAUUGGGGGGAUUCUCGGGGACUUCGUGAACCAAUCUCUUCUCGAACCUCCCCACCUUAGUCGCGCGGAGUACGUUGAACUGACGUUGAAGCAGAAGAUGCGACUGCUGCAGCAACCAUCAACCUCCACACCACAACAUGGCCGACUGUGGAAUACCGAGGACAGACUCCAGACUCUGAAUGCAGCUACAGACAACAUGGCGAACAUACCGGAUGCUGAUCUCGCCACCAUCGCCCGGGCAGGAUUUUACCACUCAGGCACUGAUAACACCUUAACGUGUUUCUUCUGUGGCUGCAACGCCCACAAUUGGCGUGUUGACGACGAUCCUUGGAGGCGACAUGCGGAGCUGCAGAUGACGUGCCCGGUGCUGCGCAGGAACGUCUACACACAGAUCAAGGACGGGAACAUCUCCUUCAGGCCUAGGAGACGCCUUUUCUCAGAGAGUUGCGCCAGUCCUCCACCGUCGAGCUAUACCUCAACAUUUCAGUAAUCUACAGCUGGUACAGAUUUCCCCAGGAAUCGCUGGUCUCCCUUGGGCUCCUUUUCAAUGAGUGUUUGAGGAACAUCACAUCCACCAAAACACUCACGUCGUCAAGAUGUUGUCCACGCUGCUGAUGGUUGUGCUUGGUCUGUACACAGGUGUGGUAGAUGACGAGUCCCCAGCAGCAGGUCAGCGCUCUAAAACGGAAUCACAGAGGUCACGUUCCUGGAAGAGGGGGAAGUGUACACAGUGCAAAGUCGGCAGUGCCAACACAGUGUUCCUGCCGUGUGGCCACGUGGUGUGUUGUGCCGACUGCAGCCUCGUCUCCCGGACGUGUGACGUAUGCCACGUACCCAUCAGAGGCAGUCUCAGGACUAGCUCAUCAAAUGGGGAGUUACAUAACAUCUAAGAUGAGCAUAUGUUGCUACGUGUAUUGGCAGGGGCUGCCUCUCUAAUAUAGUAUAUGCAUGCAUUUCUAUCAGCAUGCAUUGAAAUGUAUAUGUACGAUGUAUGUGAACAUGUUUAAUGUUCAGUGUCUUUUGUAUAUUUAGUGAUAUCGGAUAUGUUGUUGUUACAUAUAGAAAAUAAAAUACUGUGCAAGUUAACUGAUAAUAGUCUUUUUGUUGAAAGUGAACACAUCGCACUGCCACCAUGUUGUCACAUUACCUUGACUCUUGUAUGUGCUAUGAGCACGCCCCAGUGGAGUUUAGUGCCAUAUAAAUAGACAUUAUUAUUACAAUGCAGGUAACAUAGGUUAUUUUUUCGGGAUGUUUAGUUUUCAUGAAGUUUUGUUACUAAUUGAGAGAAUGUUUAGAAUAAAACAUACCAAGAUGGUAGUGGAAUGUCGAUUUUGUAAUCAAAAUCGUUUUUCUUUGAUAAUCUUGCUAUUACCAAAACAGACGUACAAUGGCAUAACUAUAUAUUCAUACAUGUCACAUGGUAAACAACAGUGUGAAGGCUUAGAAUCGAUUUCAGGUGUUUCAAUAAAAAAUACUUAAGGAAUACGUUUUCUUCUUCAUGCUAUUUCAACGCUAGUCUACAAUCCAAUAAAUAUCUCAAUCAAUUGUGAAUAUAUAAUUAUCAAAAACAGAUAAGGUGACUGGUACGAGAAUGACAAUAUCACAUCAUUCCUUUGUUGUCAGCUUCUCUCUCAGUUCCACCUGAAUUAGUUGCCACUGGCCCGUGAAGAUCUAGGUUAGAAGUAUUUAAUGCCGAAUCCUCACCGAGGGCUGUUCCAGUACUUGCCUAGCUGUCUUUACAUAGCACAUUGUCCACAUAGCUUUACCAGUAAGCGUAUUUUUGUACCUGACGUGUGCAUCGGCUUCGUCAGCUUGUUAAAUAUAACCUAACGCUAUAUAUAUACAUGUAUAGUGAUCUGGCGAUAUUUAAGGAACCUUCCGGUAGUUGGCCACAAGGCAACAGAUUGUAACGUAUUAACAGACUUAGCUCAGCAUCCGUGAAGAUCCAAUUAGAAUUGACCUUCAGCAACCCAUGGUUGUCGUAAGAGCCGAUUAACGGGAUCGGGUGGUCAGGGAUCAGUCACUCAUGAGGAAGGGAAACCAGAGCUAGUUAUACUGAUGACGUCGUGCUAAAUAUACAGCCUCGUGUCUGUUCAAUCCUCCAGUGCGAGGAGGUUCGUCAGUCACAACAGUCACACAUCUCAGGCAGACUCUACAGGCAACGACGAGUUAUCUCCCUUAGGGAUCAGUCACUCAUGAAGAAGGGAAACCAGAGCUAGUUAUACUGAUGACGUCGUGCUAAAUAUACAGCCUCGUGUCUGUUCUAUCCUCCAGUGCGAGGAGGUUCGGCAGUCACAACAGUCACACAUCUCAGGCAGACUCUACAGGCAACGACGAGUUAUCUCCCUUAGGUACACCCAGGGGAAUGUCGGCUGAUCCAGUCAAACAUGGAUACCGUACAAGAACCCAUCAUGCCUCUCACCAGAAGUAUGGGAAGUGUCGGUCAUGUGGGCAGAAGGACAUUUGUCUGGUGUUUCUUCCCUGUGGUCACGUGGUGUGUUGUGAUGUCUGCGGGGCAUCCGUGAGCAGUUGUGUGGUGUGUGACCGACCCAUUAGGGGGAGUAUCAGGACCUACUGAGGUCACUGACCCCCUAACACGGUGCCUGCAUGGAACUGGGAUAAAACUACAACCAUCUAUACCUGUGUAGAUCGUGUCACUUACUGAUCACACGAAAACACGUACCUUAUGACUUGCGAAGCUGUUAAAAAAAUUAUGUCCUGAACAUCUGGAUGCUGUUUUUUUUUUUAUUGUGAAAUUAUCGUUUGGCUUACUAGUUCCUGGCCGAAAGCCAACCCCCAACCUAUGAAGCGCAUGAAGGAUAUAUGUUUCUUAAAAUCCACACAUUCAAAAUAGAAUAAAACGAUCAAACGUUUCGUGCAAAUUUGAUUCAUUCUGGUUUAAGCUUUAUCACGUUCUGUACUUCUUCCUUUUGAAAAACCCUCUUCUUCCUCCGCAAAUAAAUAUAUUGUGUUUGUAA